ensembl:lncRNA
GUAAGUUAUUUAAUGAGCCCUCGUGUCAGAGAAAGAACGCUCUGGGAAAACCCUUUCUGACCUUCCUUACCGCUCACCUUGACUGGGGCGCCUGCCACGUCAGUCACUCUUCUGAUCAAGAACGGCAGGAGGCUCGUGAGACUGGCACGUUAAAAGAAAGCGGCCCUCUUUUUCUUUUGUUGUUUCUCAUUUUGAUUUCUUCUUCCUCUCCACUACCUCUGAAAGGCAAGGAGUAGAAUGGGGCCCGCUUUUCGGGUCUACUUCUUACUCCCAGGCCACAUCAAAACAACAAUGCAGAAAUGCUGAAAGCUCCAGCUUCGGCACCACCUGAGAGCUUGUUAGAAAUGCAGGAUUUCAGGCUCCGCCCCAGGUCUAUUGAAUUAGAACAUGCAUUUUAACAAGACCUCAGCUGAUUCGGUUUGCUCGGGCACAGAGUUGUUCUACAUUUUCCAGCCUCCCUUGCAGUUUCUUGGUAGCUAAGUAUUGGCGGUGAAGUAACUGAAUUCUAGCUGAAGAAAUGAGCUUGGGCGUGAUGUGUUCCACUUCCAAGUCUGACCCAAGACCUUCAUGCUCUCUCCCCCACUGCCGACCUGAUGCAGAUGUAUGUGGCGGCUUGAAGUCACAUAUUGAGGCUGGUGGAACCACAGGAUGGAAGGAGUGUAGGUUCCUGAAUCCCUGCUUGGAGGAAAGCCAGCUGCUCAGCAGACUUUCGUGCAACUUUAGAUUGUACACGAG